CACCAUGGGGCUCUGAGCGGGACGGAGCUCAGGCCCUGCCGGCGACGCGCUCGAGCUGAAAAGUCUUGUACUCAGUCCGAGCCAGGAAGAGGAAAUCUUGACGAAGAUGUGGAGGGGGACCCAGAGGCAAAGGACGACUCAAAGAUAUGAUCUUGAGAGCCCAGCCUCCCUCUGUUAUCGCCAGCUGAACGGCUGCGCAGAACUAGAACGCAGCCACGAAAAACUAAAGAGGACUUUCUGCGUGAGGUCAUGAUGCACUCCCUGGGUGAAAAACAAGAACUGAAGAAGUGGCAGGACAGCGAGAUGAGGGACCGAAAGAAGAAUGCAGCACACCAGAAUGAAGCCACGGAGUGGCUCUUAAACAUUAUGGAGCGCCAGGUGGAAACGAUCCAGUUACUACUAGCACUGCAAACCAAGCAACUCCGCGCCUGCCCUCCCCUGCAGCCACUGUCGCAAAACUCUUUCCCAUACGCCUCCCAGACACCUCCAAAACACUCUUAUCAACCUCCAGGCUCCAGUCUGUACCGGCUGCUUUCCACUCCUGCCCCAUCGCAGUCCAGCCUUGUGGACUCCCAGUACCCACUGCACUCAACGCUCGUCCCUCUGCAGUUUAUCCCUGCUCAAGUAUAGUACCACUGCACGUACUCAAAAGGAGAAGGUUGGAUAUGAUACCUGGACAUACAUAAAUCUUUAACUGUCCCGGGACCCCACCUCCUCCUGGGAUCUUCC